rnacentral:rRNA from 1 species
GACGAACGCUGGCGGCGUGCUUAACACAUGCAAGUCGAACGGAAAGGCCCUGCUUUUGUGGGGUGCUCGAGUGGCGAACGGGUGAGUAACACGUGAGUAACCUGCCCCUGCCUUUGGGAUAACUUCAGGAAACUGGGGCUAAUACCGGAUAGGAGCUCCUGCUGCAUGGUGGGGGUUGGAAAGUUUCGGCGGUUGGGGAUGGACUCGCGGCUUAUCGGCUUGUUGGUGGGGUAGUGGCUUACCAAGGCUUUGACGGGUAGCCGGCCUGAGAGGGUGACCGGCCACAUGGGGACUGGGAUACGGCCCAGACUCCUACGGGAGGCAGAGGUGGGGAAUAUUGCACAAUGGGCGGAAGCCUGAUGCAGCAACGCCGCGUGCGGGAUGACGGCCUUCGGGUUGUAAACCGCUUUCGCCUGUGACGAAGCGUGAGUGACGGUAAUGGGUGAAGAAGCACCGGCUAACUACGUG